GAUAAGUACUGUGGAGAAGUAUCAAGAAAAAUUUAAAGACAUGAGAGCUAGGAUGAUACAAUAUAAUCUAGCAUUAAUUGAAAGGUAUUUUAUAGAAAGCUAUAUCAGUGGGUUGAAGGAAGAAUUGAUACCCUAUAUUGAUUUAUCUCAUCCUACAACUUUAGAAGAGGUGUAUGAACAAGCUAAAUUACAUGAACAGGUUUUGUUAAUGAUAUGGAAAAGGAGCAAAAUGAUUUACAAAACACCCACAACUAAGUCAGCAUAUUAUUUUCACCCUAAACUAGCAGUA
rnacentral:lncRNA from 1 species